rnacentral:rRNA from 1 species
UACGUAGGGGGCAAGCGUUGUCCGGAUUCAUUGGGCGUAAAGCGCGUGUAGGCGGCCCGGUAAGUCCGCUGUGAAAGUCGGGGGCUCAACCCUCGAAUGCCGGUGGAUACUGUCGGGCUAGAGUGCGGGAGAGGCGAGUGGAAUUCCUGGUGUAGCGGUGAAAUGCGCAGAUAUCAGGAGGAACACCAAUUGCGAAGGCAGCUCGCUGGAACGUAACUGACGCUGAGACGCGAAAGCGUGGGGAGCAAACAGG